UGGUAACAGAAGUUGCUUCUAGAAGAGGAGGAGGAAGGAAAGGAGGCGAUUUCCACCAUCCGCGCUUCUCUGGGGUUUGAACGUGGCUGAACGGCAGGCACGAAGGCGCAGGGAAGCCUCCCAGCGAGCCGCUGCAGGGCAGCUCCGAACUCCAGAAGAACACGUACGUGUGCACUGGGAACUACGUGUAACGCUGGUCACCGUCCAAAGCCCAAGCACCCGCUGACAGGAGCGGAUUAACAGAAGCGGCCAUGGCGAGACCCCACACGGCAGUGAGAGUUGCGACUGCGGUUAUACGCGGGACAUUGAGGCAUCUCGGAAAACCAGCUGUGUGAGCGCACGCGUCUACACGUCAUGUCACUGGCGUACAGCUGGGAAACGUACUUCCUCAUUCAUCCCCCGGGGCACAUACGCAACGGAGCGAAACCCAAGGACAGAGCCGCUAACUGCCACGCCCAUCCUAACCCUCCACAUCGGCUCAUCUCUAGCCCCGAGCCCUUCACUCAGCCUCCACUUUCUCGACUCCAAACUUAGGACCCCAGUGUGACUCCAGCCACGUCUGGCCCGCCCAACCCUGCUGCCCCAGUGCACCCCAGUACAGACAGCUGUGGGCAGUAGCUUUGAAGGGGGCAUGGGUUCCGGAGAGAAAAGAGCAGAUGACAUGGUCCUAAGGUCCACUCUUCCCACAGGUGCCCCUGUGGCCGCUGGGGUCAUGACCCUGGCCGGGUUUAGACAUUAUGAGAAAUGCUGGUCAGGAAAAUGGGAUCAGCUCUAUCCCUGGACACUAGCACCUGAGCCCACAGGGCGGUUGUCGGUCUGCGGGCGCCCAGCCGUGAGCUUCUCCAAUCCAUUCUUUCCGCCGAAGUCUUGCUCCGAAUCCUUCAACAGCUCCCCACUGCUUUUUAAAGGUGAAGGACACGCACGCGCGAGCACACGCAGGAAACAGAAGUUGCUUCCGGGGCGCCUGUGGCUCCGCGGCCGAGCAUCUGACUCGGUUUGGGCUCAGGUCGUGACCCGCGGUGCCGACACCGAGCCCCGUGUCUGCGGGGGUCUCUCUUCCUGGCCCUCUGCCCCUCCCGCUUAUGCACAUGUUCGUGCUGUCUCUCAGAUACGUAAAUACGGAAAAAAUGAAUGGAAGUUACUUUCAACACAAGGGGGAAGGUGGAGAGUUUUCAAAGUCUGAUCUCCCAGCGAAGAGCCCGCACGAAACCAGGUUUUCCUGGUCUUUCAAAAGACGCGUUCGCAGAGCACCUCCUACCGCCGCGGGGAAGCAGAGGCACACGUCAGGGCAGCGCGGGACAAAGGCUCACGGCCGCCACUGCUUGAACACUCCGGGGACUGAGUGUCCUUUCAGGUCUCCAGGGUCCCUCGCAGGCGUGCAGGCCAGGCGCGCGGCUCACCACUGGCCGCCGGGCCGGGGCCGGGCCCGAGCCCGGGCUCGGGGGGGGAACAGUCCGAUGUGCGAGACAAUUCUGGGGACGGAUGGUGGUGACGGCCACACGGGAACGCGGGUGUGACCUCGUGGACCCGCUGGAAAUGACGGUAAAUCUGACGUUCUGCAUAUUUUACCACAAACGCCACAAAGGAGUGAUGGAAAAAUCCAAGCUAAAUUGCCCAGUUCUCUUCCAAGACAGAAGAGUCCUCUGUCUGACCCCAGGCGUUGCUUUAAAUGCGGGAAACAGAGACCCCGGAGACGAGUCACUUUCUGAGUCCGAAGCCUUUCCCGGGGUGCCGGGAAGGGGUCCCCGCUCCCCACCGUAAGUCAGGUUUUGCUGCUGCCCUGAUGAAAGACGCGCUGAGGUCCCCUCUCUCUCGGGCGCAAGUCCCCUCACAGGAAGCUCCGAUGCAUGCGGACAGGGAGUCGGGAAGGGCCCGAACCCAGCCCAGAAAGGCGGCCCGGAGCCCUGUGCUGACUCGGACGUCAGCGGUCGCAGAAAUCAGGCUGUUGUGCAAACUGAACUUGUUCUGCUGAGGUCACUGUAGAGCCGCCUGCAGCUGAAGGUCGCCCGAAGAGCUCGUGUGCGGGAUGUUUCCUCCCGUUAUCGCCUCGGAGUCCCCCGCCCCCACUGGACCCCUGACGACUAGUCCCCUGCUCUCCAUUCCUGGGACCGCGUCACUUCGGAGACAUCCUAUGAAGGACACGUACGGGACGCUGCCUUUGAUACUGGCUUUUUUCACUCAUCCUGACUUCCCAGGCACCCCCAGGCUGUGUGUCAUAGGCACUAAGAGUUGUUCCUUCGACCCUGUGCCAUGUAAGGAGGCGUCUAACCAGUCAUCCAGUGAAGACCUGGGGGCUGUCACGCCUCUGCCGUGAGGGACAGAACUCCUACGGAGCGGCCUUCGUGGAGAGAGAAGCCAAGAGUCUACAGGUUAAGACGAUUUAGCUCAGGAACUGGACUCUUCAGAACUAGUGCUGAACUGAAUUAGUGCUACCUUGAUUUUAACAAUCACUGUUUUUUUUUUUUUUUAAAGAUUUAUUUAUUUGACAGAGAGACAGCGAGAGAGGGAACACAAGCAGGG